rnacentral:ncRNA from 1 species
GUACACACAUCUGGAGAGCAUGGCAGGUUUAUUUUUCUCACUAGCUGCCAUCACCGAAGGGGAAAAAACUGUUUUACCACAUGAUGGUUGGCUUUAAACGGUUGAAAAUCUCAGGUCACAGGACAGAUAGGGCAAA